rnacentral:rRNA from 1 species
AUGCUUUGCUGCCAUAUCUUGAAAGUUUUCAACCAACUUGGUGUUGAUGAAAUCGCAGCGCAGUACAUACUUAGAAGAUGGACACCUAUGGCAAUCCCCAACGCACCCUCUGCUGUCGAAGACCAACCUGAUGAGAUGCCACCACAGUCGAAGAAGGAACUUAGGCAUGCAAAUUUGAUGAUGGAUUUUGGUAGUCUUGCCCGGGUUGCUAGUGCAUCAGAUGCUGCAACGGAUAUUGUAAAAAAACAUAUGCGUGGUGCACGUCAUGAAGUCAAAAAUCUCAACAUGUCAAAGAAGAAGAAAACGGCAACACCAACAAGUGGGCCCUCUGGUGGUUCUGCGCCACCAUCAGCUGAUGGUUCUGUGCCACAACUGAGUAACUCUCAGGCAACUGGUGGCCCUGCGGUGCGUCCUGAAGGGCCUACACAAGCCCCUUCUGGAUCUAGACAACAGCAACCUACUUCUGCGCCACCACCGAGUAACACUCGGGCAACUAGUGACCCAGCGGUGCGUCCUGACGAACUUGCACAAACCUCUUCUGGACCUAGGCAGCAGCGAUCUAGUUCUGCACCGCGGAGAAAAAGUCACCAAAACUAG